CUGCCCAGUGACCCUAAUUAAACGGCCGCGGUAUCCUAACCGUGCAAAGGUAGCAUAAUCACUUGCCCAUUAAUUGUGGGCUAGAAUGAACGGAACAACGAAAUAUAAGCUGUCUCUGCUAUAUCUACAUAAAUUAACCUUUAACUGAAGACUGUUAAAUAAAAUCGAAGGACAAGAAGACCCUAUAGAGCUUAAUUUUAAAACGGACAGUCCCUCAUAAAAUUUGGUUGGGGCGACCUAGGAAUAAUAAUCAUCCUUUUCAAAAAAAGAUUAUAAAUCAAUAAAAUGACCCUAAAAAGAUCAACAGUAUAAGCUACCUUAGGGAUAACAGGCUAAUCUUAUUUAAGAGUCCAUAUCUAAAAUAAGGGUUGGCACCUCGAUGUUGGCUUAGGAUAUCUAUGAAGCGCAAAAGUUCCAUAAAGAUGGUUUGUUCAACCAAUAAUUUCCU
rnacentral:rRNA from 1 species